rnacentral:tRNA from 1 species
UUGGCUCAGUGGCUAGAGCACUUGCUUCACACGCAAGGGGUCACAGGUUCAAGUCCUGUA